rnacentral:rRNA from 1 species
AGAGUUUGAUCCUGGCUCAGGAUGAACGCUGGCGGUCUGCUUAACACAUGCAAGUCGAACGGGAGUAGCAAUACUCCAGUGGCGGACGGGUGAGUAACGCGUGGGAAUCUGCCUUCUGGUCGGAAUAAUCCAGGGAAACUUGGACUAAUACCGGAUACGCCCUUCGGGGGAAAGAUUUAUCGCCGAAAGAUCGGCCCGCGUCUGAUUAGCUAGUUGGUGAGGUAAAAGCCUACCAAGGCAUCGAUCAGUAGCUGGUCUGAGAGGACGAUCAGCCACACUGGGACUGAGACACGGCCCAGACUCCUACGGGAGGCAGCAGUGGGGAAUUUUCCGCAAUGGGCGAAAGCCUGACGGAGCAAGACCGCGUGAGGGAAGAAGGCUCUUGGGUCGUAAACCUCUUUUGUUAGGGAAGAACACAAUGACGGUACCUAACGAAUCAGCCUCGGCUAACUCCGUGCCAGCAGCCGCGGUAAUACGGAGGAGGCAAGCGUUAUCCGGAAUUAUUGGGCGUAAAGCGUCCGCAGGUGGCGAUUCAAGUCUGCGGUCAAAGACUGGGGCUUAACCCUGGAAAGGCCGUGGAAACUGAAAAGCUAGAGUGCAGUAGGGGUAGAGGGAAUUCCCGGUGUAGCGGUGAAAUGCGUAGAGCUCGGGAAGAACAUCGGUGGCGAAAAGCGCUCUGCUGGACUGCAACUGACACUCAGGGACGAAAGCUAGGGGAGCGAAUGGGAUUAGAUACCCCAGUAGUCCUAGCCGUAAACGAUGGAUACUAGGUGUGGCUUGUAUCGACCCGAGCCGUGCCGUGGCUAACGCGUUAAGUAUCCCGCCUGGGGAGUACGCACGCAAGUGUGAAACUCAAAGGAAUUGACGGGGGGCCCGCACAAGCGGUGGAGUAUGUGGUUUAAUUCGAUGCAACGCGAAGAACCUUACCAGGGCUUGACAUGUCGCGAAUCUUCUUGGAAACGAGAGAGUGCCUUCGGGAGCGCGAACACAGGUGGUCAUGGCUGUCGUCAGCUCGUGUCGUGAGAUGUUGGGUUAAGUCCCGCAACGAGCGCAACCCUCGUCUUUAGUUGCCAGCAUUAAGUUGGGCACUCUAGAGAGACUGCCGGUGACAAACCGGAGGAAGGUGGGGAUGACGUCAAGUCAGCAUGCCCCUUACGUCCUGGGCUACACACGUACUACAAUGCUGCGGACAAAGGGCAGCUACCCAGCGAUGGCAAGCUAAUCCCAUAAACCGUGGCUCAGUUCAGAUCGCAGGCUGCAACUCGCCUGCGUGGAGGAGGAAUCGCUAGUAAUUGCAGGUCAGCAUACUGCAGUGAAUUCGUUCCCGGGCCUUGUACACACCGCCCGUCACACCAUGGAAGUUGGCCACGCCCGAAGUCGUUACCCUAACCGUUCGCGGAGGGGGACGCCGAAGGCAGGGCUGAUGACUGGGGUGAAGUCGUAACAAGGUAGCCGUAC